ensembl:ncRNA F59D12.11 ncRNA
UCUCCUUUUUUCUUCUUCAUGCAAUUAGUGCUCUCACAUAGUGCUUCUUUCUUGCCUUUUUUUUCCAGACGAGAAAAGUGGAAAAGUGAAACAUUUUGAGGUGAGACGAAAAGCCUUCGGUUUUGGAAAUCACUCUACUCUGAUGAU